ACCGGAUCUAUCAAGUGUCUCCUGCUCAGCGUUGGGUCCCAGGAACUCGACAGAGGGGGAGGGGCUUGGGGAGGAGGUGGAGAAUUCAGCACAGAUCUUCCUUCUGGCUUUGAUGACUGGAUCAGAUGAGUCAACUGUUCUCAGAUGAUGUCAUUGAUGGUAAAGAAAAUGAAAUGGAGCUCGUGAGUGACUCAGUGGUGAGCGUGACCAUUCCUCAUGUUUCUGUGUGAGCAGCUUUCUGUCUCAUGACUUAUUCAUCUGCAUCAUUGAUUUUAUGGACACAGAACCAUUCAUCACCCAGGCUGCGAUGAAUCUCAUCCUUACGUGUCUCACUGGCCUGAAACUCACCAAGAAGGCUGGACCGG